rnacentral:lncRNA from 1 species
UCCUCUGCUGGGCGCCACAACUUUCCCCAACCCGUGCCAACUUCCAGGGCACAGCCUCUGCGGAGAGUAGCAGGGUACAGUGAAUAACCCAGACACUAAAAAGCAAGGCAGCGGGGGUCCUACCAGCGCGGCUUUUGAUGACGUCGGUGAAUCCGUCCUCAGCGGCAUUUUCUGGGGUCUCCUGCAGACCCCUCAGCUGUGCCAUAACCAAACGCCACGUGCCUCAGCUUCCUCACGCCCCAAACUUUGGAAGGCAGACUGCCAUUUAUAAUGAGCCCUACGGAGAGGCCAUGUGGCAAGAAGCUGAGGCUGCCAGAGGGAACCUGAGGCCUGCCAGCAACCACAUACAUGAGUUUGGAAGUUAAUUCUUCAGCUUCCUUUGAGUCUUGAGGUAGCUACAGCCUGGCCAGAACUUGACUAAACUUCAUAAGGGACACUGAGCCAGAAACACCUAACUAAGCAAAUUCUGGUUUUAUGACCUUCAGAAAUUGUGUGAAAUAAUAAAUAUUUGUUGUUUUCAUUAUUCACCAUAGCAAAGUCAUGGAAUCAACCUAGGUGCCCAUCAACAGUGGAUUGGAUAAAAAAGGUGCACAUAUAACGCAUGGAAUACUAUGCAACCAUAAAAAAGAAUGAAACCACAUCCUUUGCAGCAACAUAGUUACAGCUAUAGAGCAUAAUCCUAAGCAAAUUAACACAGGAACAGAAAAGCAAAUAUUGCCUGUUCUCACUUAUAAGUGGGAGCUAAACAUUGGGUAUACAUGGACAUAAAGAUGGAAACAAUAGAUGAUGAGGACUCCGAAAUGGGGAAAGAACUGGAGUAACGGUUGAAAACCUACCUGUUGGGUACUAUGUUCACUAUUUGGGUAACAGAUUCAGUAGAAGCCCAAACCCUAGCAUUAUGCAAUGCACCCAUGUAACAAACCUGCACAUGUACCCACUGAAUCUAAAAUAAACUGUAUUUGUUGU